UAGUGACGGCGAGUGAAGAGGGAAAAGCUCAAAUUUUGAAUCUGGUGUCCUUGACUCCCGAGUUGUAAUCUAGAGAAGUGUUUUCCGCGUUGGACCGUGUACAAGUUCCCUGGAACGGGGCGUCAUAGAGGGUGAGAAUCCCGUAUAUGCCACGGACUACCAAUGCUCUGUGAUACACUCUCAACGAGUCGAGUUGUUUGGGAAUGCAGCUCAAAAUGGGUGGUAAAUUCCAUCUAAAGCUAAAUAUUGGCGAGAGACCGAUAGCGAACAAGUACCGUGAGGGAAAGAUGAAAAGCACUUUGGAAAGAGAGUGAAACAGUACGUGAAAUUGUUGAAAGGGAAGCGUUUGAAGUCAGUCACGUCUGUCGGAAUUCAGCCUGGCUUCUGCCUGGUGUACUUUCCGUCCGACGGGUCAGCAUCAAUUUCGACCGAGGGAAAAAGACGUGAGGAAUGUGGCUGUCUUCGGGCAGUGUUAUAGCCUCGGGUUGUAUGUCUCGGUUGGGAUUGAGGAACGCAGCGCGCCUAUUGGCCGGGGGUUCGCGCCCCUCGGUACGCGCUUAGGA
rnacentral:rRNA from 1 species